rnacentral:rRNA from 1 species
UACGUAGGUGGCAAGCGUUGUCCGGAUUCAUUGGGCGUAAAGAGCUCGUAGGCGGCUCAGUAAGUCGGAUGUGAAAACUCAGGGCUCAACCCGGAGACGCCAUCCGAUACUGCUGUGGCUUGAGUCUGGUAGGGGAACACGGAAUUCCUGGUGUAGCGGUGAAAUGCGCAGAUAUCAGGAGGAACACCGAUGGCGAAGGCAGUGUUCUGGGCCAGUACUGACGCUGAGGAGCGAAAGCGUGGGGAGCAAACAGG